CCAAAUGAAAGGCCGAGGGCAACGCUUAGGAGCCCAGUUGUCCCCCCAGUGUUUCUCUGCUUCCUUCGCAGGGAGUAAGUUUGGAAGUCGCUGAGGUCCAGAUACUACAGCAGCGGUUGCCGAAAGCGUGCCCAUGCUGCACACUGACCAACACCAUGACGAUAGCCCAAGUGAGGAAGAGGAAGUGUGAUUCUCACCAGCCCCAGCACCUAUGUUGCCUGGCUACCCAGGACUCACCCCAAUACUGCUCCCAAGGGGAGUCUUGCUCUAGACCCUGAAGUUCUGGCCUGAUAGGCCCACCUUUGGGCCCAGAGUGCCAUGGGUUCUUGUACUAUUUUUUUUAAUUUUUAUUUUUUAAAUUGAUAAAAUUGUAAUAUUUAUCACGUACAGCAUGCUGUCUUGAAAUAUGUGUACAAGCUUUGGUACAUGCCUGUAAUCCUAGCCAGCACCCAGGAGGCUGAGGCAGAAAAGAUCACUGCCAGUUUGAAGCUGCCCUUGGUACACAGUGAGUUCAAGGCCAGCCUUAAGUAGAUAGUGAGAUCCUAUCUCAAAAUAGUAUAGCAAAAUGGGUGAGUGAAGCUAACAUGUAUAUUAUCUCACCUUUUUUUUGUGGUGACAACCACUAAAAUCUACUCACUAAUAUGUUAGCGUUGCAACACCAUCACUGUGUCAUUCCCUCAUGUCUUAUUUUUUUGAUACCAGGGAUUGAACUCACAACCUCACACUUGCCAUAGGUGCUUAUGCUGCUGAGCUAAAUCUCUGGCCCUCCUCGUGUUGCGCGCGUGUGUGUGCACACGUGCAUCUUCCUGGCAUCUUAGUGGAGUGUUGUGUCCUUUGACAUCUGUCUCCCCAGUGAGUAAUUCUUAGAUUUGUUAACCAGAGUGUGGCUGAGCUCACACAGGACUUUGGCCCAUGGCCCUUGCUGUUUUGUUAUAAGCUGAGCAAACCUGGUGGCUCCUAAUGGAUUUUGUCCCUGGAAACCACAAGUUCUAAUAAACCGAUGGUGGCUUUCAGCACACGGGGAGAUUACUGUGAGAGGGGACCUCUGCCAUGGGGUUUCAUGCCCAAUAAUUCCAAUCAUCUUGUUUCUGUGCAAAGCAAACAAAAGCACCCAAGGGUCUCACUCUGGGGCUCUGUGGGGAGAGGAACAGAUUUGCCUCUCCCUGGUGAGAACCUUGAGAAUGGGUGUUCCUGUCACCAGGGUCUGCCAGAUCUCUCUGAGAUUAUGAAACAGGAAAAGUUCAAGGGCAAUGGUGGGGAAGCCUAGAACCACAGCAUGUAAAGUUGCAGGGUGCUUCAGUAUUUUUCCUGUGAUUUGCCUGGAACUUAGCAAUUGCUCUAUGGUAACUAUAGAGCAUGACAUAUCUUUGGAGAACAUUUCAUCUAGGCACUGCAGCUCUCAAGACUGGGAUCGCCUGCCUCAGCCCAAAACCUUGCCCCCAGGGUGACAAGAAUUGAACUCUUCCUCUGUGCCUGUGCUGCCCUCUGCAGGCCGUACACUUCGUAUGCAGCCUGGUUUUACUUGGUUACUUGCUCAUGGGCUUUGUCCAGGACUCAGCGGUUUCCAAGGCUGCGUUUCACUCUGCCAUUUGGUAUGGCUCAGGGGUACCUAUGCUCGGCCACUGCCCGUUUGUAGAGAUCUCAGGUGUUGGAAGCCUUCCUCUGAAAUGUCCUCAGCUGGAGCAUGGGGCCUUUUCUCCUAGUCUUUGAGGGGACAGAAUCCCAGUCAGUGAGCAGAUAGAGCUGACCCCGUGUCUCUUUAAUGUUCAUCAACCCUUUGUCAUUUUGUACUUCCUGAUCUGACCUGAACCCGUCAUUCACCUCCCUGCUGUCACCCUGAUUCUCCUUGUCAAAUAUCCUCUCAACCUCUGAAAAUCCUCCAAGGGAGCUCAACUCUUUUCCUCACCAUCAGUAGUUACUAAGAUUGUUUGGUAGCCUUAACUGCGCCCCAGCUUUUUCUAUCCUUGACCAAACCUGCUGGCACCUGCGCAGUUCUGCUUGGGAAAGCCCAGGAUGCAAAUCAGUUUUCCCCAAGGAAUUGGGAGGUCCGGACAGGUCAGAGUGCAGUGGACAGCAGCUCUCAGCCCUCCCAGCCUUCCAGGACUGGCUGUGCUGAUGUUUAUGACCUUGAGUACAGUGGCACCUCAGUACUCUUCAUUAACUUGUCCCUGGAAGUAAGACAAGUUCCAAAUAAAUUGCUUUAGCUAAAAAGGCAAUCAACAUCCACAAGUUCUAUCUGGUGCAUGGAGUACCAAACAAAGAACAUGAUUGGAUGAAAUUUCCCCUACCAAAAAAAAGCUUCCAGUACCAAAUUGGAAUUUGAAAGCAAUGAGUAGUAAGGUCUGACUGUGCCUUUGUGUGCAGGACAAAGCUUUUUGUACUGGUUUCAGAUUCACUUGUUUGGUCUGAAUGGCCCAAUCUGGACCUCAGAGAAAGCAACUACCCUAGAUCCCCGCCUCUCUCCCCAUAGCUCCCCACCUAUGUCUCCAGGACCCGUGAAAAUGUCUAUUUCCUUCUCUGUCUCCUCAUCAUUGAAGAGCCUCUCCACCAUAAAGGUUCCAAAUUAAAUAAAAGCAAUGGCUGCACCAGAAGAAGAGCCGGGAAACCACAGGGCCAGCCUGGAGCAGUCCAAAGUGCCCAGGUGCAGGAAGCAGCUCUGCAGGACUUCACCUCCAGGAAAGAGGCUGCCUGUGCUUCCAUGGGGAAUCUAGCAACACACAUGUCGCGGAAGUGUCAAGACACCCCAACAACGCAACACCAACAAUCCAGCAUCCAGAGAACAGGAAAUGGGUGGAGGGAAGCAGCCCUCUGCAAGGAACUAUCUCUGUGCCCAAGCCCAGGUCAAAAAGGAUCCUGAACAUCCCAGACCUGAGGUGCCAGUUUUGGACACAUAGCACUUUUUAGCCUUUUAUGAGCUGGGCAUGGUGGCACACACCUGUGAUCCUAGCACUCUGGGCAGCAGAGGCAGGAGGACUGUAACUUCAAGUACAGCCUAGGGAGCUUAAUGAGACACAUUCUCAAAAUUUUAAAAAAAGGACAGGGGAUGUAGCUUAGUGUGAAGGCCCUUGGUUCAAUCCCCAGGACCACAAAAACCAAAAACUAAAUGCUUUGUGGCUCCCUACUGCUCCAUGGAUCAACCUAAGCCCCUCAACCAGGUCCAGGUCAUCAGCCAUUGGUCCUAUCUCACUUCUCCCCAGUUUCACUCCAAUGCAGCAGACAUCAACCCUUGGAGGUCUAGAAUGAGGCCACUUCAGACAUGGGACCUGCUUUAUUGCAUGACUGGGAGCUGCCCCUCCAUCAUCUAGGACACAGAGUGGUCAUCCAGGUUCCAUUUAGCCAUCUUCCUCCUGUUCUUGGGCCAAACUCAGGACAUAUAGCAAGACCCAGGUCUCAGGAAAUCGUGGUCCUCAGAGUUUAUCUCUUGGAAAUGUAGCUUCAAAGGCAUCAGCUGCAAGUACCCUUUCCUGUCCCCGAUCCACCCACGAAGAACUGGAAAUCAGAUGGCAGCUAGCAGAUUGAACUGAGGCCAGGGUUUGCCCACCAAACGGUUAUUUAUUAGAUAUGGAUCAGUUUUUUCAGUACCAGGCAUGCUUGCCACCUCCACCCCACAGAAAGGUUGUGGAGGGGAGGAGAAAGAGGGAUGAGGGGAGGGGCUGUGUCCAUGCACAACCACAAGCCGAGUGGCCAGCAGUCCAGAGCUGAGAAAUCUAGGUCAGACACAUCAGCUGCUCCAAAACGAAGGCCACCACAAAUGCAAGGGGCACUAAAUAAAUAUUUAGUAGGGCCAGGAACCAGGCAAGGUGGGUGAACUCUCCUAACAGCUCUCGGUACUUGGGCAAGAAUUGCUGUCCCUGUUCUGUCUCCUGGAGGAGCACAGGCACAGGCUGGAGGGUCCCAGGUUCCCUGGUAUGACCUGUACUGCUCUCUCUCUCUGUGUCCCCCACACAGUGCCUUGCUGGGAAUAGGCCCAGCCUUGGGAGCCAACGGGCCCUAGUGCCCCAGUACCACUCAGUGUCACCUGCCUCUCAUCCUCCAGCUCUGGUCACUUAGAUGCUGCUCUGUGGGGUUUUGAGGAAUAUGUUUCCCAACCAGGAUAGGAGGGGGACAGCCACACGCAGCUUGACAGGCUCCAAGGAGGGGUCAGAACUUGACAGGUCCAAGGAGGGAUAGAAAGAAGGCAGGACAGAAUAUUCCCAAAGAGACACAAUUGCUCUGGCAAGUCAUCAAGGGUCCUCACAGCUACAAAGAUCAAGAGCUAGGUUUUGGGGCCGGGUUUAUAGCUCAGUGGCACAGUGCCUGCCUAGCAAGCACAAGGUUCUGAGUUUGAUUACACACACACACACACACACACACACACACACACACACACACAAAUCUAGGUUUCAGUCUUAGCCCAAAGCA